UGCUAUGAUCAUGUAGAAAUGAAUCUUGUCUGUUUCUCCAUGAUCUUAACGUGAUAACCAUUUGGAAAUUGUAAACCAGGAGUCCGGACAAUAUUUCCUCCUUUGAUUGCCUGCCACCUGAAAGUUGAAGUUGUUAAAAGGGAUGCACAAACCCACACAGACACCCCACUUUGCAGCAUGCUAUUACCUGUACUUUGUGACCAAGCAAUGGAGAAAUACAGCCAUCUGCACCUUGGUAAAAUCUGUUCCUACACAAAAUCUCAUGCCGCCACCAAAAGCCAUAAAAUGUUUUGAUGCCCCAUUUAUUUCCGGACCCUCCCAUCUCCAUGGAUUGAAAGCAAGUGGGUCUUCAUAUUUUUUGUGGUUCAAGUGUACCGCAGGGGGACAGACCAUUACUGCCCAACCAGCCGGAAUGGUAUAUCCCUUAAACUGGAUUUCUCUGAGCACUUUUCUGAAGAUUACUGGAACAAUGUUUGCCAGUCUAACAGUUUCAUUGAUGAACUGAAAGGUAAAUGUCAUUGAUUUGUAUUCUUUCCAAGAAAUGCCAGAGUCGGCAUUUUCCCGAUUUUUCAAAAUUGCUUCGUGCUCUUCCGUUAAUUGCUUCAGCACCAGUGGAUGGUCUGAGAGAAAUUUGAUGGCCAUAGUUAUAGCCAAGGAAGUUGUUUCAAAGCUAGCAAAUAAUAGCACAAACAUCAAAUCCAGAGCAAUUUCCUCUGUGAGGAUCGAUCCCUCUUUCUUAAGUUCUUCAAGUACGAAGUCAAAAAAAUCACUUUGGUGCUUUCUCGGAUUUGCUCUUCUUUCAUGUAGCAGGUUUUUUAACAUUUUCAUUGCCUUUCUCCUACCCUGUAAACAUUUGUGAUAUGCCGUUCCAGGCACUUCCAAAGGGAAGGAGAUUAAGCCUUGCAUGAAUGCAACGAAGUUAUCCCUGAGGUUCUCCGAGGAAUUCUCUUGAUCAUAACUUAUCAGCUUCUUUGCAGUCAGAUCAAAUAUCAUACUAGCGGUAGCUUCUUUUAAUUCUACGGUGUCCUGACGGGACCAUAGUUCUAAUCUGCUAGAUGCUGCCUGUUGAAUUUCAGGGAGCAUUUUCUUGAGGCUUUCAGGACCAAAGAGAUUUAGCACCAUAUUCUUGAGGUACUUGUACAUGAACCCAUGUAAUGAACCCACAUUUUGUCGUCCAAAGAUUUCCGUGAAAGUAUCUGGAUACCAGCUCUGAAACAGCUGUCCUUCUUGUUGAAAGAUGAAGUAAUUGAGAUCUGGGUCUGUUGAUACUACAACUGGCCUUCCAACCAAAUUAGUCCGGAAUAUUGGCCCGUAUCUUUUCAUCCUCUCUUUGACAAAGGGAGGAAUAUCAGAAGAAGGGUUGGAAGCAAAGAACUGAAUCGUCUCGCCAAGGAGUGGCAAUCCCAUUGAACCAGGGGGUAGUUUCCCAUUGCAUCUGGGAUUUCUCCAGCGGUAAACCCAAUAUGUGAAACUUAUAAUAACCAAAGCUCCAAAACACAAAGCCCACAUCUUGCUCCAGUAUAAAUGUGAAUGCAGAGAAGAUCGAUCUUGAAGGAUUAAUUAGAAUAUGCUGAUAUGUUAUAAGCAGAAAAUGGAAAUGGGAACAGGUUAGGUUACCAGAAAUGAGAAGAGUUUGAGGUGGGAAACGUGGGAGGAAUAGACAGGAAGAAGAAGUAAGUGCUGGCAUGUAUCUGAUCAG
rnacentral:misc_RNA from 1 species